GCAGACGACCCUCAGGUGGUGGCUCCGGCUUGUCCUGAGAUAAGAGGAGGACCAUUGUCAGCAUAAAAUAACAAGAUAAAUACAUUAUGAUAAAUGAAGAGAAUACAAAAUUGUAACAUCUAUCAAGAAUCAGAAUAUAAAUAGAGAAUAGAUGUAGGACAAUAUUUUAACUAAACUUGGAGGUCCACCAUCAUGUAGAUCUGUUCUAAUCUGCCACAAAGGAAUAGUGGCAUCAUGAGAAGAAAAGGAUAAAAUUGAAAAAAACAAGCAAAUCAUGUAUACCGUUUAAACAAAGAAAAGAAAAGGCCCCAGAAGAAAAAGGGGAAAAGACACAUGAUUUUUUUUUCUCCAAUGGCACUUUUACAAUGAACCAAACAAAAUCAGUAAAAAAAGAACAGAAAAUUUUUAGGGAAAAAUUUUAUACAAAUAAAUAAAAAUGGACACUGGCUUUGGAACACAUUUUAAACUCCUUUUGAUCAAUUGCUGUGGUUUUUGCCAUUCUCCAUGCAAAAACCCCAAUCCACUAGAAUAGAAAUAUAAUUACAUUCGUUUCAUUUUUUUUUUUUUGUCAGACAAAUGCUGUCUGAAAACGACUUUAGAAGUACUGUUCUUUUUUGUAGAGAAAUUAAUUAAGAUUUUUCCCCUUUCAAAGGACAAUGACUUUACAUAAAGCAGAAAAGGAAAUACCCAAAUACCCAAAAUCUUGAUAAUUUGGCAUCAAAAACCACAUUUCCCCCAUAAAAGGAAAGACAGACCAAUAAAACAAAAUAAAGACAUGUCAGAUACAUGCAUUGAAGUUUACAUGGCAUCUACACCUCUUAAAGUAAUAGAUCAAACAAAACAUGCUUAUAGAAACAUUGUGAUUCGGGCCACAGUCCCAAAACUGAGUGAAUAGGCCAUGCUGUAUUUAAAAAUAUAGGUUCUACCAAGUAUUCAGACCAAUCCAUUGGUUAUCUGCCAGAGGCAUAUGGACAAAUUAGUGCAUCAUAUAAGCUUUAAAGCAGGCGAAGUUAGAAUCCAGACAAAUUAGACAACCAUAUUGCAAGCUCUAGGUUACCAAGCUUUAAUAUCAACUAAUAAGUUUGCAAUGUAGCAUUAAGAAACAAUGCAAACACCGCUACCACCAAAGCAUUAUGUGGUGACUAUGAUAUCUGCUCCACAUCAAAUUUUCACUACAACCUAUUAAAAUACAUGAACCUAGUAAGCAAAAGGUAGGAUGCCCAGCUCCAACCCACCAAAUUUCAGUUUUUGAUUCAACCCAUACAAAACUUAUCUAGAUCAAAACAAUCACAAAAUUGAACUGUUAUACAGAACUACUUCCUUGUCCUAAUUUUAAAUAUGGAAUAUAACAGAGAUAGUCUGGUAAGGAAAACAUAAAUAAAAAGGAGGACAAGACAAUCCUAAGCAACAUAUUACAGCAACAGAUCAACUAAAUAGUUAGAACUUAAAAGUUUUUUCUUUAAAAAGAAUAUGCAAUUUUAACUGAAAUGAAAGAAUGGUGAUAAUUCACCUACCUCUCUCCCUGGGUGGAAAGGAAUUUCAGGCCCUCCAGUGACCUCAACAGCAACAACUCCAGCCAACUAAGUAACAUAGAAAAUGAAAAAGAAAAGUCAAUGUCUGAAAGCAUAAAAGAAAAAUUAUUGAAUAGAGUGGGAUAGGUGUGAUAAUGGCCCAAAAGGGAUAGCAAUUUUGAUAAUUCUGGUUAAGGACAAGACAAAGGGGGGAAAAUUUCCACAAAGGCCAUUUAGCAAAAUAAUAAACCAAAAUUUCAUAACUAUCCUUUAGUUAAAGUGGACAAAAUUUCAUAAAUCAAAAUAAUAAACCAAAACAAUUCUAAAAAAAUAUUUUCAAAACAACAUCUAAUAUGUUUUCUAAAACAUUUCCAUUUCUACUUUUAUCUAAAUUUAUAAAUAAAUAAAAAAGUUUCCCUAAUAAUGCAAUAAGAAUGAUUAUUUUUCAUAAUUUUUCUCUAAUUUCAAAUUUAUAAAUCAUGCUUUUUUAUUAUUAAGAUUGUGAAGAAAAAAUGUCUAAUUUUUUAUUUGGGUUGUUUAAAAGAAUUAGAAACACUAAUUCAUCAUUUUUUGUUUUUUACAAUUGAAUAAUUUUAAAAAAUUAUAUAAUGUUCAUAAUUUUUAGUUUUUUUCGUUUGCAUUGCAUGUUUAUCUUCUUUUUUUUUUUCUUUCAUAGCAUACAAUGAUGGAUGUUAAUACAUUGUAAUUUUAUAUUGGAUGUCGAUGAGGUAUAACUCCAAUACUAUUAUUUCUAUUAUAAAAAUAUAUUAUAAUUACAAUAUAAAUAUACUAAAAUUAUAAUACAUUACAACAAAACCUAAUUUAGAAAAUUUUAAACUUUUAUGUUCGCUAACAUAUUUAUAUUAUGAACCAUCUUUUAAAUCAAAUAAAGUAUUAAUUUGAAUUCAUGAAGCAUUUUUUUAAUUAUAAAAAUAAUUAAACAAUUUCAAUGCAUAAAAGUAAUGAUGUCAAUAGGGUAUAAAAAGGUAUUUCUAAAAUUAUUAAUUUUGUCAUAAAAAAAAAGGUGGGACAUAAAUUCAUUACACUUACAUUACAAAUGCACUACUAUAUUACAAUACAUUACAAUACAACCUAAUUAUUAAAAUCUUUAAUUUUUUUCACGUGCCAUACCAUUAGCCGAAUAUUUGUGUGUUAUAUUGAAUUGAGAUGCUCAUGAAAAAUAAAGCACACAUAAAAAUUAACUGUUUAUUCAAUUAGGGCAACAAAGCUUUUACGUAGCUAUAAGCAAUUGCUAAAGUUUGUUGUUACAUGCAUAAAGUAGCAUAUUAACCCUUGGGAUUGGUUUUUAUUUAAUAAAAAUCUCAAUUCUUUUUUUAAAUGAGAAAAGUAUAUUUCAAAUAAUCUAAUUUCUAAUAAUGAAAUUAAAAAAAUUAUAUAAAUUUGUAUUAGUUAUCCUUUGACUUUCCUAUUCUUUUCAACCCACAUAAGCUUAAGCAUGGUGAAUUGUAGGGUAAAGUUUAACUCUAAGGAAGAAAGGAGUAAUGGGAAAAAAAUUGACAAAAGGUAAAGUUAAUGUCUCAGAAGUUAGUUCCUCGAGGGAAUUUGAUAAAUAAGUGGCUGCCAUUAUCCCAUCUGACCGACCUAUUUGGUUGAAUCCUAAACAUUAAUAUGCAAAACAAAUUCUCACGUCCACUGACGUUUGAAGUGAACAAGCAAACCAAGAGGCCAUCAGAUUUACAGCAGCUUUUAAGAGCCAAGCAAAAAAUUAGCGUCCGUUUACAAAUAUAUCCAUAUAUAUAUAUAUUUUCUCUUUCAUUUUCCUAAACGUGUUUCUUGCAAACGAAAAGGAUCAAAACGAAAAUUAACAAAGGGAAAAGAGGAAGCUAGGAAAAAAAUUGCAAGUAUUUAUAAUACCUGAUAGAAGUCAGCGUACGAAAUGAUAGGGAAUUGUUCCUUGAUAGGUUCCAAGAGCCUAACGGCUAUAUCAAGACCGUUGUUGGCUCCGUGAGCUAGCUCUUCUGGCUUCUUCAUCGUUCCGAAAGGACCUCCGGUUCUCGUCUUCACAUCGAAGGUACCGGCAGAGUGCCAUCUGAAACCACAUGAUUACACGGUCAACAUCCUGGUAAAAUAAAUAGAUAAACGAACAAAUAACUGGGAAAAACAACUAUUGAGAUCUUAGAGAGAAAGGACGUACGCGAUUCGGAGCAUAAUCGGAGCACAGUUCUUCUCAGCGAUGAGGCCUCUGAGCUUCUUCUUGGCUUUUUCUACAGCCUUUUUGUAUUCCUCGCUCACAGUAGGAUAGCUCUUCCCCAUGGCUAUGA
rnacentral:lncRNA from 1 species